GAUGGCUCAGAGGUUAAGAGCACUGA
rnacentral:piRNA from 2 species